rnacentral:rRNA from 1 species
AUAUCAAUAAGCGGAGGAAAAGAAACUAACAAGGAUUCCCCUAGUAACUGCGAGUGAAGCGGGAAAAGCUCAAAUUUGAAAUCUGGCGGCUCUGCCGUCCGAGUUGUAUUCUGGAGAAGCGUCUUCCGCGUCGGACCGUGUACAAGUCCCUUGGAACAGGGCGUCAUAGAGGGUGAGAAUCCCGUCUUUGACACGGACCGCCGGCGCUAUGCGAUGCGCUCUCGAAGAGUCGAGUUGUUUGGGAAUGCAGCUCAAAACGGGUGGUAAAUUCCAUCUAAAGCUAAAUAUUGGCGAGAGACCGAUAGCGAACAAGUACCGUGAGGGAAAGAUGAAAAGCACUUUGGAAAGAGAGUAAAACAGUACGUGAAAUUGUUGAAAGGGAAACGCUUGAAGUCAGUCGCGUCUGCCGGAACUCAGCCUUGCUUCUGCUUGGUGCACUUUCCGGUCUGACGGGCCAGCAUCGGUUUCGAGAGGCGGACACUGGCGAGGGGAAGGUGGUGGCUCCGGCCGCGUUAUAGCCCCUUGUCGCGAACGUCUCCCGGGACCGAGGAAUCCGGCGAAAGCCUGGGAUGCUGGCGUAAUGGCUUUAAACGA